rnacentral:rRNA from 1 species
AACGAACGCUGGCGGCAUGCCUAACACAUGCAAGUCGAACGAGACCUUCGGGUCUAGUGGCGCACGGGUGCGUAACGCGUGGGAACCUGCCCUUAGGUUCGGUAUAACUCCCCGAAAGGGGUGCUAAUACCGGAUAAUGUCUUCGGACCAAAGAUUUAUCGCCUUUGGAUGGGCCCGCGUUGGAUUAGCUAGUUGGUAGGGUAAAAGCCUACCAAGGCGACGAUCCAUAGCUGGUCUGAGAGGAUGAUCAGCCACACUGGGACUGAGACACGGCCCAGACUCCUACGGGAGGCAGCAGUGGGGAAUAUUGGACAAUGGGCGAAAGCCUGAUCCAGCAAUGCCGCGUGAGUGAUGAAGGCCUUAGGGUUGUAAAGCUCUUUUACCCGGGAUGAUAAUGACAGUACCGGGAGAAUAAGCUCCGGCUAACUCCAUG